GUCAACACAAUAGACAUAUCCUCCAUACUUCUUAUCUUCUUUGGAAAAAGGAAUCCAUGGAGAACAGAAACGAUCAUGCUCAAGAUCAGCAGAAGGGUAAUGGAAACGAUGAAGAACCAGUCAUCAACUAUAGAGGAAUCAAAGCUAUGCCCUUCAUCAUUGGAAAUGAGACAUUUGAGAAGCUUGGAACUGUUGGAUCUUCAACAAACCUUGUGGUUUAUCUGAACACAGUUUUUAACCUCAAGAGUGUGACUGCUACUACUCUUGUUAAUGUCUUCAAUGGCGCCACAAAUCUUGCUCCUUUGCUUGGAGCUUUUCUCUGUGAUACUUAUUUUGGACGAUACAAGACUCUGGGUUUUGCUUCUGUGGCCUCCUUUUUGGGAAUGUCGGCACUAGCUCUGACCGCAGCAAUCCCCAAUUUGCACCCUCCAAAGUGUGUAGGAAAAGAAAGCAGCCUGUGUGUAGGCCCAACAGUUUGGCAAUUGGCAUUUCUUCUCUUUGGCUUUGGGCUCAUAGCCAUUGGAGCUGGUGGAAUCAGACCUUGCAAUCUAGCCUUUGGAGCAGAGCAAUUCAAUCCCAACACUGAAGCAGGCAAGAGGGCUAUGAGUAGCUUCUUCAAUUGGUACUACUUCACCUACACAUUCGCUGUCAUGGUUUCAGUCACUGGCAUUGUCUAUGUUCAAUCUGACGUUAGCUGGGCUAUUGGUUUGGCCAUUCCUGCAUUUCUCAUGUUCCUUUCUUGUGCUGUCUUCUUCCUGGGAACAAGAAUUUAUGUUAUUGUGAAACCUGAAGGCAGCCCCAUCACUAGCGUGGUUCAAGUACUUGUUGUUUCCGUAAAGAAACGAGGCCUAAAGCUUCCUCAGAACCCUGCUCUUUCCCUUUUCAACUAUGUUCCUCCCAAAUCUAUCAACUCCAAGCUCCCUCACACUAAUCAAUUCAGAUUCCUCGACAAGGCUGCAAUCGUUACAGAAAAAGAUGAAAUAAACUUGGAUGGCUCAGCUGCUAAUCCUUGGAGACUUUGCAGUAUUCAGCAAGUUGAAGAAGUGAAAUGUAUGGUGAGAAUAAUUCCAAUCUGGGCAUCAGCUAUAAUCUACCAUGUUCCCUUAAUUCAACAACAGACCUAUGCAGUUCUCCAAGCUCUCCAGCUUGACAGACGUCUAGGUACUGGAAGUUUUGAAAUUCCUGCUGCAACAUUUAUAAUCUUUACCAUGCUUGCUCUCACAAUUUGGAUUCCCAUCUAUGAUCGAAUCCUGGUUCCAUUUCUUCAGAGACUAACUGGCAAAGAAGGUGGAUUCACACUUCUCCAAAGAAUGGGGAUUGGAAUCCUUCUUUCAGUUCUUUGUAUGUUCGUUUCUGGAUUGGUUGAAUCACACAGAAGACAUCUUUCUUUUACUAAGCCAACUCUAGGAAUUUCCCCGAAAGGUGGUGCUGUAUCAUCAAUGUCUUGGAUGUGGCUAGUGCCUCAACUUUCACUUGCUGGACUUUCUGAGGGCUUCAAUUAUGUUUCCCAGAUUGAGUUCUACUACAAACAAUUCCCUGAAAACAUGAGAAGUAUUGCAGGAUCUUCCUUCUUUGCUGGCCUAGCGCUAGCAAAUUUUCUCAGUGGUUUCCUUGUUUCCACCAUCCACAAGGUUACUGCAGCAACUAAAUCAGGAGAUUGGUUGUCUGAGGAUCUUAACAAGGGGAAAUUGGAUCAUUUCUAUUAUGUAAUUGGUGUUUUAGGGAUACUAAACUUGGUAUAUUUUCUGCUAUGUUCUAAGUGGUACAGAUAUAAAGUUCGUGAGGAUGAUGGGACUGUGGAGAUGUCCAAGAAAACAAAGGAAUCAGUGAGGCACCAUGUGUGAAAUGGGCUUAUACAGUCUCUUGAAAUCUGCAGUAUCAUAAAGGAUAAUUUCUCUUUGAUUUGCUGCUUCAUACAUAAUAUUUUCAUGUUUCCUCUUGUAUUUGCGUACAUCAGAAUUUAAUCAAGAUUUUGUUCCUUCCCUGUAUCAAUGCAGAUAAAUUAGUCCUGCUGCUUCAGCUUAUUUUGUCUUUGAGAUGGAAGAAUAAUUCUUAAUUCUCAUUCAUGAAAAUUAGUUGCAUAAAUCUCCUCCCUAUUUUAGGAACCAAUAUGUCAUUCUUGAACUACCAAACAACAAAAGUAAUACAACCAGUUAUGC
rnacentral:misc_RNA from 1 species